rnacentral:rRNA from 1 species
GACGAACACUGGCGGCGUGCCUAAUACAUGCAAGUUGAGCGAUGAAGAUUGGUGCUUGCCCCAAUUUGAAGAGCAGCGAACGGGUGAGUAACGCGUGGGGAAUCUGCCUUUGAGCGGGGGACAACAUUUGGAAACGAAUGCUAAUACCGCAUAAUAACUUUAAACAUAAGUUUUAAGUUUGAAAGAUGCAAUUGCAUCACUCAAAGAUGAUCCCGCGUUGUAUUAGCUAGUUGGUGAGGUAAAGGCUCACCAAGGCGAUGAUACAUAGCCGACCUGAGAGGGUGAUCGGCCACAUUGGGACUGAGACACGGCCCAAACUCCUACGGGAGGCAGCAGUAGGGAAUCUUCGGCAAUGGACGAAAGUCUGACCGAGCAACGCCGCGUGAGUGAAGAAGGUUUUCGGAUCGUAAAACUCUGUUGGUAGAGAAGAACGUUGGUGAGAGUGGAAAGCUCAUCAAGUGACGGUAACUACCCAGAAAGGGACGGCUAACUACGUG